rnacentral:lncRNA from 1 species
AGCAGUUCGGGGUAAUAACUACCUCCAUAUGUGGCCCGUGGUGGCAGCGCUUCUUUUGGGUUCUUUUCACUGUGGUUUGGCACAGCUAACCUUUAAAAAUAUUAACUCUGUAAAGGCUAGCAACUGCAGCAGAAUUGUUCUUAUUCCAUGCUAUGUCUCCAACAUAGAGGCACAAGACAUCAAUGAAUUAUUUUUGAAGUGGAAAUUUGGACAAGAUAUAAUUUUUGUCUUUGAUGGGCAUGCAAACAAAUCUACAACUUAUACGUUUCCAAGUGCACAAAUUUUCCCCUCCGAAUUUCUAAAAGGAAAUGCAUCUUUGACGUUGGCUAAGAAUGAAGCUAAAGCAGGAAACUACACAUGUGAAGUGACAGAAUUGAGCAGGGAGGGGAAACACACUGUGGAGCUAAAAUAUAGUGAUGUCUGCACUCCACCAAUUAGCGGUUUCAAAGGAGGAAGUGUGCUACUCAGUCUCAUCUGGGUUCUCCUGUCUUUGACCAAGGUUCAUGGUUUACUUUAAGUGAAAAUAUUCCCAUUAUUAUUUUCCCAUUUUUGACUGUACUUCUGUUCUGGGCACAGUUUGGUAUUUUAAUGCAAAAAUAUAAAUCCAACCCUGUGAAUAGGAAAAUUCUUAUUUUAUCUACUUCUGGACUAUUGUUCACCAUAAUUGUCACUGUUGGAGCCGCCCUUUAUAUCCCAGCUAUCGGGAGGACCCUCCAGGCUGUGAUCAUGUUCACCAUUGCUCAAGGACUGGGUGCUGUACUCACUCUGGCGGGACUAUAUCUCACUGCAUCUGACUGUGUACCAAAAUACGGCCUCCUUCUAAUUUCAGGUUUGGCCAUAAUAACUCUAGUGGAAUUAUUUGGACUAAUUUAUAUGAAAUGGCUUGACCCAAUGAUAGGGUUUCCAUAAGACACAAAAGUGCAGGCAGCGCUGUCUUUGUUCCCGAGUUUCACACUUUGUCUCACUGGCUCUCAAGGAAUACUAAAUCCAACCAUCUCUAGUCCAGAGCAAGAUGCCAGACGUUCCAAGUGCCACUGGGUCACCUUGCUUUUCUCAUCGCUGAAGCCAGCUGAUUGCUCUCCAAGGAUACUGUUUUGCCCAAGGCAGUGUGGACUUUGACAUUCCUUCAAGUUUCAACUAGAAUAUUGACUAGAGGCUAGUUUGUAGACGUAUUACUUUGUAAAAAGUGUCAACUCCUUGAUUGUAACAGAAAACAAUAAAAACAUUAAAAAUCCA